rnacentral:rRNA from 1 species
CAAUAGCGUAUAUUAAAGUUGUUGCGGUUAAAAAGCUCGUAGUUGGAUUUCUGCUAAGACCGACCGGUCCGCCCUCUGGGUGUGCAUCUGGCUCAGUCUUGGCAUCUUCUUGGAAGUUGCUCUGCGCUUGACUGGGUGGAGUGGUAUCCAGGACAUUUACUUUGAGGAAAUUAGAGUGUUUCACGCAGGCUCUCGCCUUGCAUACAUUAGCAUGGAAUAAUGACAUAGGACCUCGGUUCUAUUUUGUUGGUUUCUAGAGCUGAGGUAAUGAUUAAUAGGGACAGUUGGGGGCAUUCGUAUUUAACUGUCAGAGGUGAAAUUCUUGGAUUUGUUAAAGACGAACUACUGCGAAAGCAUUUGCCAAGGAUGUUUUCAUUGA